GACGAACGCUGGCGGCGUGCUUAACACAUGCAAGUCGAACGAAGUGGCGAACGGGUGAGUAACGCGUAAUCAACCUGCCCUUUAGAGGGGGACAACAGUUGGAAAAGACUGCUAAAACCGCAUACUGAAGGAGGGGAUUGCGUCUGAUGAGCUGGUUGACGGGGUAAAGGCACACCAAGGCGAUGAUCAGUAUGCGGUCGGGGAGGAGGAACGGCCACCUUGGGACUUAGACUGGGCCAAGACUCCUACGGGAGGCAGCAGUGGGGAAUCUGCCGCAAUGGACGAAAGUCUUACGGAGCAACGCCGCGUGAGUGAUAACGGCCUUCGGGUUGUAAAGCUUUGUUAAUCUGGACGAGGUACCGGAAUAAAAAGCAACGGCUAACUACGUGCCAGCAGCCGCGGUAAUUC
rnacentral:rRNA from 1 species